rnacentral:rRNA from 1 species
AACGAACGCUGGCGGCAGGCCUAACACAUGCAAGUCGAGCGGACCCUUCGGGGUUAGCGGCGGACGGGUGAGUAACGCGUGGGAAUAUGCCCUUCUCUACGGAAUAGUCCUGGGAAACUGGGGGUAAUACCGUAUACGCCCUUUGGGGGAAAGAUUUAUCGGGGAAGGAUUAGCCCGCGUUGGAUUAGGUAGUUGGUGGGGUAAUGGCCUACCAAGCCGACGAUCCAUAGCUGGUUUGAGAGGAUGAUCAGCCACACUGGGACUGAGACACGGCCCAGACUCCUACGGGAAGCAGCAGUGGGGAAUCUUAGAAAAUGGGGGCAACCCUGAUCUAGCCAUGCCGCGUGAGUGAUGAAGGCCUUAGGGUUGUAAAGCUCUUUCAGCUGGGAAGAUAAUGACGGUACCAGCAGAAGAAGCCCCGGCUAACUCCGUG